rnacentral:lncRNA from 1 species
UAGCACUAUAGGUAUGAUUUAAAUAUAGGGGAAUAUGCUCUUUCUGUCUUUCUCCGUAAACAGGACUAUCUGCAGAAUCUAUACAUAAAGUAAGUGGGGAGUUCAUGGCAAGCUUCUGCGGGGGAAGGGAGAAGAGGACCAGCACUGUGGUUAAAAGUGAUAAUUAAGCCCGGUUUGGUUGCUUGGAGAGAGCACGUCGUUUGCAUACCUUUAACCAGUUUGUUAACCUUGUGGGACUAGAGCUGCUCUACACUGUAAUUUUUUAAAAAAUAAAAGAUAAUAUUGCGG